CCUCCCAGACUGGUGGCAUGAAGAUGGGGUUGGGAGUGUGUAGUGGGAGAAGCACCUACCAGGACCCCCACCUGCCCACUACUUGGGCAUCCCAAAGCUGUGUGCUGCCCACCUGGUGUUCCCCAAAAUCUCCAGCUCUACCAAGUGCACCCCUCUGGCACCUGCUUCUCUUGCUGCCAGCGAUUUAGACCAACCAGGCUGUAUCCACGGCAACAGAAGCAGGAGUGUCACUGGCUGCCAGAUCAGUGAGGGUCCCACAAUGUGGCCUGGGCUGUGGUUUAUCCGGGAUGAAACAGAGUGAGCCUCCUUCCUGAAUUCCAAGACAGUCCUGCUAAGAAAACCCAGUCUCUACCUACAGGUAACAUACUUUUGCUCACUCACCCUGGAAGAUGUGUCCCAGCUAGUGGGAGGAAGCUGCUAUAGGAAUAGAGGAAGAUACCCAUAUUGUGUUUGGGACCUCCAGAUCUAUGACACAGUAGCCAGAGGUCCCUGUAUCUGGAGGUGCAGGAAAACCUGGUAUAUGGAGAACAUGGAUUCUACUAGGGACACGGCUCCUAACUACUAGCUCGCAACUUUAGUGGAGGCAUGUCACUUGUUGAACCUUGAUUUUCCCAUUUGUCAAAGAGACUGGUAACCCUUUCUUCACGGAUGUAUGCAGGGAUUAAAUAAAUUGGUGCAUGCAAACAAUUAAA